rnacentral:rRNA from 1 species
AUGCAGAGAACUUCCAGAGAUGGAUUGGUGCCUUCGGGAACUCUGACACAGGUGCUGCAUGGCUGUCGUCAGCUCGUGUCGUGAGAUGUUGGGUUAAGUCCCGUAACGAGCGCAACCCUUGUCCUUAGUUACCAGCACGUUAUGGUGGGCACUCUAAGGAGACUGCCGGUGACAAACCGGAGGAAGGUGGGGAUGACGUCAAGUCAUCCAUGGCCCUUACGGCCUGGGCUACACACGUGCUACAAUGGUCGGUACAAAGGGUUGCCAAGCCGCGAGGUGGAGCUAAUCCCAUAAAACCGAUCGUAGUCCGGAUCGCAGUCUGCAACUCGACUGCGUGAAGUCGGAAUCGCUAGUAAUCGUGAAUCAGAAUGUCACGGUGAAUACGUUCCCGGGCCUU